rnacentral:rRNA from 1 species
CCCCCUCAAGAUGAGAUUUCCCAUAGCGCAAGCUAGUAAGAACCCUGAAAGAUGAUCAGGUUGAUAGGUCAGAGGUGGAAGCGUGGCGACAUGUGGAGCUGACUGAUACUAAUCGUUCGAGGACUUAUCCUA